rnacentral:rRNA from 1 species
GGUGAACGCUGGCGGCGUGCUUAAGACAUGCAAGUCGAACGGCAGUCUUCGGACUGUAGUGGCGCACGGGUGAGUAACGCGUAACUGACCUACCCCAAAGUCGCGGAUAACGAUUCGAAAGAAUCGCUAAUACGUGAUGUGCUGUCAGAUUGUGUUCUGCCAGUAAAGAUUGAUUGCUUUGGGAUGGGGUUGCGUUCCAUCAGCUAGUUGGUGGGGUAAAGGCCCACCAAGGCGACGACGGAUAGCCGGCCUGAGAGGGUGGCCGGCCACAGGGGCACUGAGACACGGGUCCCACUCCUACGGGAGGCAGCAGUUAGGAAUCUUCCACAAUGGGCGAAAGCCUGAUGGAGCGACGCCGCGUGAGGGAUGAAGGUCUUCGGAUCGUAAACCUCUGAAUCAGGGACGAAAGACACUUCGGUGGGAUGACGGUACCUGAGUAAUAGCACCGGCUAACUCCGUGCCAGCAGCCGCGGUAAAAC